AACGAACGCUGGCGGCGUGCUUAACACAUGCAAGUCGAACGAGAAAGCCCUUCGGGUGAGUACAGUGGCGCACGGGUGAGUAAUGCAUAGGAACGUACCUUGUGGUGGGGAAUAACAACGGGAAACCGUUGCUAAUACCGCAUGAUGUCGCAAGACCAAAGAUGGCCUCUACUUGUAAGCUAUCGCCAUAAGAUCGGCCUAUGUCCCAUUAGCUUGUUGGCGGGGUAAUGGCCCACCAAGGCGACGAUGGGUAGCUGGUCUGAGAGGACGAUCAGCCACACUGGAACUGAGACACGGUCCAGACUCCUACGGGAGGCAGCAGUGGGGAAUAUUGCACAAUGGGCGCAAGCCUGAUGCAGCAACGCCGCGUGAGUGAAGAAGGCUCUUGGGUCGUAAAGCUCUUUUCGGCAGAGAAGAAGGGUUCUAUGGUAAACAAUCAUAGAGCUUGACGGUAUCUGCAUAAGAAGCACCGGCU
rnacentral:rRNA from 1 species